rnacentral:rRNA from 1 species
UACAGAGGUCCCGAGCGUUGUUCGGAUUCACUGGGCGUAAAGGGUGCGUAGGUGGCAUGUUAAGUUUGAUGUGAAAGCUCAGGGCUCAACCCUGAAAUGGCAUUGAAUACUAGCGUGCUGGAGGUUUGGAGGGGGGACUGGAAUUCUCGGUGUAGCAGUGAAAUGUGUAGAUAUCGAGAGGAACACCAGUGGCGAAGGCGAGUCCCUGGACAACACCUGACACUGAGGCACGAAAGCUAGGGGAGCAAACAGG